rnacentral:rRNA from 1 species
GACGAACGCUGGCGGCGCGCCUAACACAUGCAAGUCGAACGGAGAAAGAAACAGCUUGCUGGAUCUUUCUUAGUGGCGGACGGGUGAGUAACACGUGAGCAACCUGCCCCUCAGAGUGGAAUAACGUUUGGAAACGAACGCUAAUACCGCAUAACACCAUUGGAUGGCAUCAUCCGAUGGUCGAAGAUUUAUCGCUGAGGGAUGGGCUCGCGGCGCAUUAGCUAGUUGGUGAGAUAAAAGCCCACCAAGGCGAUGAUGCGUAGCCGGACUGAGAGGUUGAACGGCCACAAUGGGACUGAGAACGGCCCAU